GCUAAGCAUGGUAGGCAUGCCUGUAGUCUCAGCUACUAGGGAGGCUGGGGCAGGAGGAUCACUUGAGCCCAGGAGUUCUGAGCAGUAGUGCACUAUGCUGAUUGUAUGUCUGCUCUAAGUUCAGCAUCAUUACAAUGACCUCCCAGAGCAAGGAACCACCAGGUGGCCUGGGGAGGAAUGAACCGGCCCAAGUCAAAAAUGAAGCAGGUCAAAACUCCUCUGCUGAUCAGUAGUGGGAUCAUGUCUGGGAAUCGCUACUGCACUCUAGCCUGGGUAACACAGCAAGACCCUAUCUAA
ensembl:misc_RNA Metazoa_SRP Metazoan signal recognition particle RNA